rnacentral:lncRNA from 1 species
CGGAGACCCACACUGCGCACAGAGCAGAGCCGGCGGCCACCUGAGCCGGAGUCUGCGGCGGGCGAGCCCGGAGCCGACCAGACUCAGACACAGAGCUGCCCCGGUACGGUAAGAGACGCCGGGCUGGGGCGAGGGGUCUCACAGGCGUAGGCAGGGAAGAGGCCAAGACCAUCGAGGCAGCUCGAGGUACUAGUUCCUGCGGGCCGGAUGGAACGUGCCUUCACCGGAUGCUAACUCACCUACGGGUGGGCCCACUCUGUGCUUCGGCCCCACACUCCCAGAGGGCUACGGUGUCCGGGACAUGGGCUCAGGCACAGCAAAGGCGCAGCCCUGGAAGCCCCUGGCAGUGCAGGACCCGAGGGCCUGCGGGAGACAGUGGCCCGUGAGCCGACUGGCAGCUGCCGCAUCCAGGAAUGGGGCCCCACCACAAAUGGAAAUGCUGGCCCCUGAGAAUGGCUAAGGACUUGGGGCAUAGCUUCGCGUCACAAGGGUAUUUUCCCCAAACGAAACUGCUUCAUUCGUUCGUUAGUUCGUUAGAGCAGCAACGCCGCCAAAAACUAGUAUGCACCAGCCAAAGUCCCGACUUCUUCGCCCUGGACCACGAUGUCCUGCUGUCACCUUCAGAGAGGUCCCAGCCUGUGGUGGCCUGCUCCCCGCGGCAUGGUUCGAGCUUUUACUUCCCCUAAAAAGAAAACCCAAAUACACCUCGUAAAGUCCAAUAAAGUCGCUCCCGAAGC